UACGGGGGGAGCAAGCGUUGUUCGGAUUUACUGGGCGUAAAGGGCGCGUAGGCGGCCAGCACAAGUCGGUUGUGAAAUCUCCGGGCUUAACUCGGAACGGUCAGCUGAUACUGCUUUGCUAGAGUGCGGAAGGGGCAAUCGGAAUUCUCGGUGUAGCGGUGAAAUGCGUAGAUAUCGAGAGGAACACCUGAGGUGAAGACGGGUUGCUGGGCCGACACUGACGCUGACAGCGCGAAAGCCAGGGGAGCAAACGGG
rnacentral:rRNA from 1 species